rnacentral:lncRNA from 10 species
GCGCGGCCUGGCAGUGCUGCAACCGCUACAGCAGCCGCAGGAAGCAGCUCACCUUCCACCGCAGGUGAGGGAGAACACACACACUGCCAGUGAGAGAGGAAAUGCCAGCUCUUCUCAGAAAGAAAAGGUCCUCCCUGAGGCGGGGGCCGGAGAGGACAGCCCUGGGAGAAACAUGGACACUGCGCUUGAAGAGCUUCAGUUGCCCCCAAAUGCCAAAGGCCCCGUAAAACAGAUCUCGCCACGGAGUCCGCAAGCAGCAGAGACUGUUGGCCGGCCGGCCGGCCCUGCAGGCUUGAGAAGGCCCCCCGACAAGCAGCCAUCUGAUCACAGCUAUGCCCUUUUGGACUUAGAUUCCCUGAAGAAAAAAACUCUUCCUCACUCUGAAGGAAAAUGAAACGCUCCAGAAGCGCUUGCAGGCCCAGAGGCUGGUGAAGCGAAGGAUGUCCAGCUGCCUCCGUGCCUGCAAAGGGCACCGGGGACUCCAGGCCAGACUUGGGCCAGAGCAGCAGAGCUGAGCCCCACAGGCUCCGGACGCAGAGGCGGCAGUGGCACCAGGGCCGGCAGGGCUUUGGAGCUCUGGCUGUGGACAUUUUUGUCUGCUGUGGACAUUGAGAAAGUUGGCCGUGAGGCCUGCCGGGCGGGGGAUUGAAACAGUAACCAAGCUCCCUGGCGAGAGCCCCGACGCCGUCUGAAGGACGUUUAGAGGCAUGGUACUAGGACUGAGCAUGACAAGCUUAUCCUCCCAUAGUAACAGAAGUCCAGGCUGAGGCUGAUUCUGAACUCUGUCCUUUCAGCACGCGCAGAGCGAAGGUCGUUGGAAGCCCCAGUAUGGGAGAUGCUCCUCAGGGAGGAAGCCAUGUGAGGGGGCCGGCUCUGUGGCAGAUUGUAAUAGCAUAAAAUAUGUAAUAACAAUAGGCUGGGCACGUUGGCUCAGGCCUGUGAUCCCAGCACUUUGGGAGGCCGAGGAGGGCAGAUCACAAGGUCAAGAGAUCAAGACCAUCCUGGCCAACAUGGUGAAACUCCAUCUCUACUAAAAGUACAAAAAUUAGCUGGGCGUGGUGGCAUGUGCCUAGUCCCAGGUACUCAGGAUGCUGAGGCAGGAGAGGAUCACUUGAGACCAGUGGGCGGAGGUUACAGUGAGUCAAGAUUGCAUCACUUCAGCCUGGCAACAGAGCAAGACUGUGUCUCAAAAACAAAGAACCAAAGGAAAAAAAAAAAAAAAAAA